rnacentral:misc_RNA from 1 species
GAAGUGCGAUAAGUAAUGUGACUUGCAGAAUACCGUGAAUCAUCGAAUCUUUGAACGCAUAUUGCACUCUCUGGUAUUCCGGAGAGUAUGCCUGUUUGAGGGUCAGCUAAAAAAAUCAAGCGUUAUUGCUUUUUGUGGUGACGUUUGGAAUUGAGUCGUCUUAACCUCAUGGUCAAGUGACUUAAAAUUUUUUUAAUGAUUUUCGAAACGUAUUUAAUAUUUACAUACGUUUGCGAUAUCAAUCUAUUAGAUGUGGUCAUUUUCCAUGAUUCGCGUCUAUAGUUUUUCAUUAAAUGACCUCAAAUCAGGUAAGAGUACCCGCUGAACUUAAGC